UACGUAGGUGGCAAGCGUUGUCCGGAUUUACUGGGCGUAAAGGGUGCGUAGGCGGUCCUAUAAGUAUGGUGUGAAAUCUCCCGGCUUAACUGGGAGGGUGCGCUAUAGACUGUGGGACUAGAGUGUGGGAGAGGAAAGUGGAAUUCCUGGUGUAGCGGUGAAAUGCGUAGAUAUCAGGAGGAACACCGGUGGUGUAAACGGCUUUCUGGACCAUAACUGACGCUGAGGCACGAAAGCGUGGGUAGCAAACAGG
rnacentral:rRNA from 1 species